UACGUAGGGUGCAAGCGUUAAUCGGAAUUACUGGGCGUAAAGCGUGCGCAGGCGGCUGUGCAAGACCGAUGUGAAAUCCCCGGGCUUAACCUGGGAACUGCAUUUGUGACUGGCGGGCUAGAGUAUGGGAGAGGGGGGUAGAAUUCCACGUGUAGCAGUGAAAUGCGUAGAGAUGUGGAGGAAUACCGAUGGCGAAGGCAGCCCCCUGGGCCAAUACUGACGCUCAUGCACGAAAGCGUGGGGAGCAAACAGG
rnacentral:rRNA from 1 species